rnacentral:rRNA from 1 species
UACGGAGGGUGCGAGCGUUGUCCGGAAUCACUGGGCGUAAAGGGCGCGUAGGCGGCCGUUUGCGUCGGAUGUGAAAGCCCGGGGCUCAACCUCGGAACGGCAUUCGAUACGGGACGGCUGGAGACCGGGAGAGGAGAGUGGAAUAGCCAGUGUAGAGGUGAAAUUCGUAGAUAUUGGCUGGAACACCGGUGGCGAAAGCGGCUCUCUGGCCCGGUUCUGACGCUGAGGCGCGAAAGCGUGGGGAGCAAACAGG